CAGGCUAGAUGCCAGACCAGUUUGACCAGGCGGUUGUGCUGAACCAGCUGCGGUACUCAGGGAUGCUGGAGACUGUGAGAAUCCGCAAAGCUGGGUAUGCGGUCCGAAGACCCUUUCAGGACUUUUACAAAAGGUAUAAAGUGCUGAUGAGGAAUCUGGCUCUGCCCGAGGACGUCCGAGGGAAGUGCACGAGCCUGCUGCAGCUCUAUGAUGCCUCCAACAGCGAGUGGCAGCUGGGGAAGACCAAGGUCUUUCUUCGAGAAUCCUUGGAACAGAAACUGGAGAAGCGGAGGGAAGAGGAAGUGAGCCACGCGGCCAUGGUGAUUCGGGCCCACGUCUUGGGCUUCUU
rnacentral:lncRNA from 1 species